rnacentral:rRNA from 1 species
GGGUCAGUAGGUUGGUCGUGCCACCGGUACGUACUGGUCUCACUGAUUCCUCCUUCCUGAAGAACCGUAAUGCCAUUAAUUUGGUGUUGCGGGGAAACAGGACCGUUACUUUGAAAAAAUUAGAGUGUUUAAAGCAAGCUAACGCUUUAAUACAUUAGCAUGGAAUAAUGAAAUAGGACGAUCGAUCCUAUUUUGUUGGUUUCUAGGAUUGACGUA